rnacentral:rRNA from 1 species
AAUAGAUACCCAGGUAGUCCACGCCGUAAACGAUGAGUGCUAAGUGUUGGGGGUUUCCGCCCCUCAGUGCUGCAGCUAACGCAUUAAGCACUCCGCCUGGGGAGUACGGUCGCAAGACUGAAACUCGAAAGGAAUUGACGGGGGCCCGCACAAGCGGUGGAGCAUGUGGUUUAAUUCGAAGCAACGCGAAGAACCUUACCAGGUCUUGACAUCCCGGUGACCACUAUGGAGACAUAGUUUCCCCUUCGGGGGCAACGGUGACAGGUGGUGCAUGGUUGUCGUCAGCUCGUGUCGUGAGAUGUUGGGUUAAGUCCCGCAACGAGCGCAACCCUUAUUCUUAGUUGCCAUCAUUCAGUUGGGCACUCUAAGGAGACUGCCGGUGAUAAACCGGAGGAAGGUGGGGAUGACGUCAAAUCAUCAUGCCCCUUAUGACCUGGGCUACACACGUGCUACAAUGGACGGUACAAACGGUUGCCAACCCGCGAGGGGAGCUAAUCCGAUAAAACCGUUCUCAGUUCGGAUUGUAGGCUGCAACUCGCCUAC